UACGGGGGGGGGCAAGCGUUGUUCGGAAUUACUGGGCGUAAAGGGUUCGUAGGUGGCCAACUAAGUCAGACGUGAAAUCCCUCAGCUUAACCGGGGAACUGCGUCUGAUACUGGAUGGCUUGAGUUCGGGAGAGGGAUGCGGAAUUCCAGGUGUAGCGGUGAAAUGCGUAGAUAUCUGGAGGAACACCGGUGGCGAAGGCGGCAUCCUGGACCGACACUGACACUGAGGAGCGAAAGCCAGGGGAGCAAACGGG
rnacentral:rRNA from 1 species